CAGUAGCCACGGGAAUACGGAGGGAGCUAGCGUUGUUCGGAAUUACUGGGCGUAAAGCGCGCGUAGGCGGUUACUCAAGUCAGAGGUGAAAGCCCGGGGCUCAACCCCGGAACUGCCUUUGAAACUAGGUGACUAGAAUCUUGGAGAGGUCAGUGGAAUUCCGAGUGUAGAGGUGAAAUUCGUAGAUAUUCGGAAGAACACCAGUGGCGAAGGCGACUGACUGGCCUAAUACUGACGCUGAGGUACGAAAGCAUGGGGAGCAAACAGGAUUAGAUACCCCUGUAGUCCCUGUCUCUUAUAC
rnacentral:rRNA from 1 species